rfam:Setaria italica strain Yugu1 chromosome IX, whole genome shotgun sequence.
AAAGUUGAGGAUGACGAGAUGAUAUCUUUUAUCCUCACUGGUUUGGAUAGCGAGUACAACCCCAUUGUCACAUCUCUUAUGGGACGUACAGAUCAGAUCACGCUCAGCGAAUUGUAUGCCCAAGUUAUGGCG